GAGUUUGAUCCUGGCUCAGAAUGAACGCUGGCGGCAGGCCUAACACAUGCAAGUCGAACGGCACCUUCGGGUGUAGUGGCGGACGGGUGAGUAACACGUGGGAACGUACCUUUUGCUUCGGAAUAGCCUCGGGAAACUGGGAGUAAUACCGGAUGUGCUCUUCGGAGGAAAGAUUUAUCGGCAAAAGAUCGGCCCGCGUUGGAUUAGCUUGUUGGUGAGGUAAUGGCUCACCAAGGCGACGAUCCAUAGCUGGUUUGAGAGGAUGACCAGCCACACUGGGACUGAGACACGGCCCAGACUCCUACGGGAGGCAGCAGUGGGGAAUCUUAGACAAUGGGCGCAAGCCUGAUCUAGCCAUGCCGCGUGAGCGAUGAAGGCCUUAGGGUUGUAAAGCUCUUUCGCUGGGGAAGAUAAUGACUGUACCCAGUAAAGAAGCCCCGGCUAACUCCGUG
rnacentral:rRNA from 1 species